GUUGGAUUUGCAUGGCAAGGUUUUGGUAUCAAAAUUCAUAAUUAAUUGGUAGUUAAAUUCAUAAUUAAUUGGGAAGAAAUAAGAGAAAGUUUUUAUCCUUUCUAGAGAAAGGUUUGAGAUCCAUUGAUGAGAAACAGCCCAACCUGUGUGAGAACUGAAACACCUGGGGAUUAAUUAGCCUGAGGAAUUCUGAUUUGCUCAUUGUCCACACCUGUGUGGCUCAGCAAAACUUAAUUAGCCUGAUUGGGAAAAUUACUUCAGUGGGGUAAGGAGCCAGUUCAGUUCUGCUGGGCUGCCUGAGAGGACUGUGAUUACAGAAAAAACUUUUCUGCAGUCAGGGAGCAAAACACGAGCCUUAAACCUCACACGAGAGCGAGUGAGGCUCCCCAGCAGUCACAGAGGGAUCAAACAGCGUUUAAAGGAAAGGAAACCACCCAAGAAAUCAGCCCUGAUGGUUGAGAGAGCUCUGCCCCAGGCUGGCACACGUGGGCCAGAAAGGCGUGUGCCCCCAACACUGGCACCUCCAGGGGAGCAUUGCCAGCUCUGCUGCCCCAAAUCCAUGGGAAUUGGCUGGGAUACACCGGGCUGGAGUGGAGCAGAGCAGGAGGAACCCAGGAGGAGCUGGCUGUGGUCACUGCAGUGGGAGGCCUGCCGAUGAGCUGUGCUGCUUACUGAGGCUCUGGACCUGCCAGUUGUUCCCCAUCCUAAACACACACACCUGAACUUUGCUGUUACCUUGUGCCCACCAAUGAUGGGGAAAUAAAUGUCACAUCAGAGUCCUGCA